rnacentral:rRNA from 1 species
AUACGUAGGGUGCGAGCGUUGUCCGGAAUUAUUGGGCGUAAAGGGCUCGUAGGCGGUUUGUCGCGUCGGGAGUGAAAACCAGGUGCUUAACACCUGGCUUGCUUUCGAUACGGGCAGACUAGAGGUAUUCAGGGGAGAACGGAAUUCCUGGUGUAGCGGUGAAAUGCGCAGAUAUCAGGAGGAACACCGGUGGCGAAGGCGGUUCUCUGGGAAUGACCUGACGCUGAGGAGCGAAAGUGUGGGGAGCGAACAGGAUUAGGUACCCUGGUAGUCCACACCGUAAACGUUGGGCGCUAGGUGUGGGGUCCAUUCCACGGAUUCCGUGCCGCAGCUAACGCAUUAAGCGCCCCGCCUGGGGAGUACGGCCGCAAGGCUAAA